AUUUAAUUCCUAAAAAACCACUAAAGUUAUAGAGGCAAAAUGAGAAAGCAUAGCUCACAAAUACCUUGUGACCAAUGACUUGCCUAUUCAACGUGAAAAAGAUGAGGAUGAAGACCUUUAUUAUGAUCCACUUCCAAGUAAUGAACACACUGGAGAAAGUCAGACAGUCAAAACAAUGUCCCAGACUCCGUGAAGUUCCUGGGUAGAGAAGGAGACAGACAUAUACCAUACCUAAUAAUUGGAUGUCCGAGAGAAUGAGAGAAUGGCAGAAAGAACUUUAGAGCAUGGGUAUGAUGGCUAGAGCUUGAGCAGCCAUUGUGGACAUCAGAUGAACUUGAAAGUGAAAACUAUGAGCUGAAUACGACAAAGCAAACAGAUAGAAAACUGGAUUCAUUAUGACAUUGCAAAGCUGCCAGACCAGCUCUAGUCUGCUUCCCCCUAAUCUUCCUUACUAAGAGAGAGAAAUAAACUUCCAUCUUCUUCAA